rnacentral:rRNA from 1 species
GACGAACUCUGGCGGCGUGCCUAAUACAUGCAAGUAGAACUCACUUGCGAACGGGUGAGUAACGCUUAGGUAACUUCCUCAUAACUGGGGAUAACUAUUGGAAACGAUAGCUAAUACCGCAUACUGUGAGAUUGACCUCCGUUUUAGUAGCUAGUGGUUGAGUGAAAGGCUCACCAACGCGACGAUACAUAGCCGACCUGAGAGGGUGAUGGGGCAAACUGGGACUGAGGCACGGCCCAGAGUCCUACGGGAGGCAGCAGUAGGGAAUCUGCGGCAAUGGACGGAAGUCUGACCGAGCACCGCCGCGGGAGUGAAGAAGGUGUUCGGAUGGUAAAGCUCUGUUGUUAGAGAAGCGGUAACUAACCAGAAAGGGACGGCUAACUACGUGCCAGCAGCCGCGGUAAUUG